rnacentral:tRNA from 1 species
GCUUCUAUGGUCUAGUGGUUAUGACUCCGGAUUUUGAGCAAUCUGCGCCGAAGUCUUCCGGCAACCCCGGUUCGAAUCCGGGUAGGAGCU